rnacentral:rRNA from 1 species
UACAGAGGUGGCAAGCGUUGUUCGGAAUUACUGGGCGUAAAGGGCGCGUAGGCGGCCUUCUAAGUCAGACGUGAAAUCCCCAGGCUUAACUUGGGAACUGCGUCUGAUACUGGGAGGCUUGAGUGCGGGAGAGGGAUGUGGAAUUCCAGGUGUAGCGGUGAAAUGCGUAGAUAUCUGGAGGAACACCGGUGGCGAAGGCAAUCCCCUGGGCCUGCACUGACGCUCAUGCACGAAAGCGUGGGGAGCAAACAGG